GGGGCUGCGGUGGCAUCAGUUUCAGAGCCUCUGGCCCAGCAGCCCCGCCAGGAGGAAGCUCCCUGCAGACGUGGCCCAGCGGGCCUGCAGCAGCCACAGGCCCCAGAGGAAGUGAGCCGCUCACCCCCGCCUCUCGCCGGCCCCUGGGGCCCCCGGCGACCUGGGAACCCGGAACCUGCUUUGGUUUGGAACCUCGGACCACCAUUCGAGAUCCGUGGCCUUCAUUUCCUGGUGUGGGCGAAGCAGCCAGGGCUGGCGAGGCAGGGAUGGAGCCGGAGUCCCUCUACAACCUGCUGCAGGCCCCGGGGAAGGUGGACCCACCGGCGGCAGAAACACUGGCACAAGGUGCGGAGCCGGGCGGGUGGAGGGGGAGUCUGUAGCAGCGGGCAGGUCGUGCCGGGCGCUGCCGUGCCUUCCAUGUUGCCAGCCGGACACCCAGUUCUGCCAGCCCCUGCCUGUACCUUCUGCUUGAAACUUGAUCCCCUGCUUCUGGAAACUUCCACAGUUGCCCCCAUAUCGCUCGUACCCCCAGUCUCUGGGUUAAGAGUGACGUGGAUGAAGAUACUCGUUGCUGUGCGUGCCUUGGUCCAGAGCCGCAGGGCUGACCUCAUGAACUGGUGUUCUCGGUUUAUACACGGUUUAAGCUGGAAAGCAUCACAAGGAAAGUGGCCAUGGGGGUGGCAGGGCUUGGGGUUGGAAAAAACAUUUCUUUUUUGUUUUAGAGCUGGUUUAGAGCUCCUUAAAAUUCUGGCGGCAGAGCCGGAACAUGGGAUGAUUCUGAGAGGCAACGCAUCGGCUCCAGGGAAGGGCCACGGCCAGUCGUGCACCCCCUGCCACCCCCGCCCCAGCAUUUGUCAAGAGCCCGCCCCCCACUCGGGUCAGAAGCCAUGGGCUGGGGGAGUGCUCCCAGCCCUCCGAGCGCUACCCUCGGAGGUGUUCAGUGUCUAGAAGUCUCCAGCCAGGCCAUGUGAACACAGAGAUGAUACCGUUGCGGGUUCGGGCAAGGCCACCCCCACGUGGUGACUCAGUUUCCCCCAUGGCCCCAAGUCCUUUGGGACUAGAUGAUGUCAGGGGUCCCCCCUCGGCCCUGACGUCUGUGGGUUCCGUGGGUUAAAAACUUGUGGGAGAAGCUGACCUGGGCCUGAGGGCUCAGAGGACAAGCCAGGGGGCCUCAGUGUCCUGCCCAGAGCUGGGAGCCGGAUGGAUGCGGGUGGACCUGGCCUCGGCUCCCUGGAGCCUGGGAACCUGUGCUUGUCUGAGCUGUGGCUCCUUCUUAAGCGCAUGGUGGGGCUGGCGGGUGAAACGCAGGAUGCCCUGUUUGAGGCGCCCUCCAGAUGGACCAGACGUGGGUUUUGAGUUUAGGGUACUCCCCAAAUAUAAAUAUGCAGGAAGAGCUGCAGGUCAUAAGGGAAAUGAAGAAGGGUGUCUGGGGAGGCAGGAACAGCACGGCUCCGGAGGGGAGGUGCAGAGGACCCGGGGUGUCUGGGAACCCAAGCCCCUUUGAAUGUUUGGUGCUCACAGUGUGUGUGUGUGUGUGUGUGUGUGUGUGUGUGCGUGUGUGUGUGAAGCAGGAGGACAAGUUUCCCCUAGAGGGUGGAGGAGCAGCUCUGGGGGUGACCUGCGGGGUCCCCCGCACGCGUCACGCUCACCUCUGCUUCCAGGAGAGAAGAGGAAGUACCUGCCCCCCACCUCCCGGAAGGAUCCCAGAUUCGAAGAAUUGCAAAAGGCACUGAUGGAGUGGAUCAACACCGAGCUCCUUCCUGAGCACAUCGUGGUCCGUAGCCUGGAGGAAGACAUGUUCGACGGGCUCAUUCUGCACCACCUGUUCCAGAAGCUGGCGGGACUCAAGCUGAACGUGGAGGAGAUUGCCUUGACCUCGGCCAGCCAGCGGCGCAAGCUCACGGUGGUGCUGGAGGCCGCCAACAAGAGCCUGCAGGUGGAGGAGUCGCAGGCCAAGUGGAGCGUGGAAAGCAUCUUCAACAAGGACCUUCUGGCCACGCUGCAUCUCCUCGUGGCCCUGGCCAAGCGCUUCCAGCCCAGCCUGCCCCUGCCAGCCAACGUCCAGGUGGAAGUGAUCACCAUGGAGAGCACCAAGAGUGGCCUGAAGUCGGAGAAGUCAGUGGAACAGCUCACUGAGUGCAGCACAGACACGGACCAAGCUUCGAAGGAUGUCUUUGAUGAAUUAUUUAAGCUGGCUCCGGAGAAAGUGAAUGCUGUGAAAGAGGCCAUCAUGAACUUCGUCAACCAGAACCUGGACCGCCUGGGCCUGUCUGUGCAGAAUCUGGACACCCAGGUAGGGACUCAGCUGUGGGGUCCGGGGCAGCGAAGGACUGGGGGGAAAGCGGCCCAGUCCGUGUGGCCUGGGGUGUGUCCCCUCUCAGAGCCCUGGGGUCUCCUCUCCAUCGGGGGUGCUGCCGGUGGGCAGCAUCGCCCAUUAGGGGCACGGGGGAGGGGGCCCCAGGGGGUGGGGACCUCGAGGUUCGUCUAUGCUGUUGUUACUUUUCAUUGGGCGAUAACCAUCUCUCAGCUCUUUUUGCAAAGUGACUCUCAGGCUAUCUGCUCCCAAGACGCAAAGCCCUAGAGGUUUCCCUAAUUGCGCUCGCUCCGUGUUUAUUAGGCUGUGCUGUGUGCCAGGCAGGGUUGUAGGUGCCAAGGCAGCCCUGUGUCUGCAGCCCCCCCAGAGGUGCUCAGCCCACAGCAGCUGACUUACACUGAACGGUCCUGGGGCAGGAACAGAAUCUCGCGAGAACAGCCUCCCACGGUGGGCUGUGGCCCUUCACCAGGAUGCUAUGCCUGUGGUUUCCCUCAACACAGUGGGGAGCAGAGAGGCUGAGAAGCUGGCCAGCCCAAGGCCUUCAGGGGAUCGAGCCUUCUGGACCCCGGGUGCAUUAACUGGACGUGGCGGUGGAGGUGUUAGGUUACCCGGCUUCUGCUCACACCGCAUGGCCGGGGGCAGGUGGCGAGGUCAGAUCUGGUUACUAAAUGGCUUACGGUGAGCUUAGCCAGAGCAGCCAACAUUUCAGGCACAGCCUGACAUUAGCCAGUGAGGAAUGGGGUCACUGUGCCCCUGGGCCUGGAGCUGAAACUGAUAAAGUUCACUCUGUACUUGGCCCUGAGCAAAGUGCUCUGCCAACAGCCACUCACCAGAUCCUCCCAACAACCUCCUUAGGUGGGAACUGAUACUGUGCUCUUUUAUAGAUGAGGCCAUGAAAGCCCAGAGAGGUUAAUUAACUUGUCUGAGGCCACACAGUGAUUAAGUGGUGGACCUGGGAUUUGAACUCAGGCCGCUGAGGCCAGAGUUUGAGCUUCCUCGUCAUCUCACGCAGCGGCCACAUGAGACGUCUCUGUGUGCUGUGGUGUGGUGAUAGGGCAGAGUGGAGUUAGCGGACGCUGAAGCCAGAUGGGCACCUGCUGGCCCCCAGGCUCUGAGGCCAGCUCCUCUGCCUUGGCUGUGUGGUCUUCUCUGAACCUCGGCUCCUCUUCUUUUAAAAUGGGUACGAAGAGACCAGCCUUGCGGAAGUGUGAGUAACGAAUGAGGCGAUGAGCCUCUGGGGGUUGCAGGUAUCACCUGGCACCCUGUGGACACACCACGAACGAUGCGUUUGUGGUUUUACUGUAUUUUGUGUGGGUAUCAGCAGCAUGAGUCCUUGGGUUUACAUUCUGCCUGUUUCCUCUUUAUCGUUCCCUUGGUAAAAUGAUGGCAUUUGGAGAAUUACGGCACAGGCAAGGGUGGCAUUUGGAGUCGGUGGGAUAAAGGGGGAUAUUGCGGUCCCUGACAUUUGGGUGGUGUCACCAGGGACUCUCAGCAGGAACGAUUUCAGGCCAAACUAAUAACAUGGAACAGAUCUAAGAGGAGGCAGUGCCAUUGAAGACUUUGAGCGGUGGUUAUUCCUCCAAUACCCAAGCUGAUGUUCUGUGUCUUUGAAGAGAUCGAAUAGGGUUAUAUUAGCAUAGGCGGUGCUGGUGCUGGGUUGACAGUGUCAUCUCUGAACACGCAGGCGGAACAGACAAGCAUGAACGUGGCAGCCGGCAAAGGACCCAGGCGUGCUGUUCUCCGCCUUUUCCUGACGGAGUUAUUUUACACUGAAUGCUGUUUUCUCCUGUGCUUCUGUAGCUCGUGGAACAGCACGUGAUUUAAAAAACGAUUUGAGGCUCUUUCACGGAAAAUGUGCAAAUAGCCCGUUUUAUUGAGCACGUGCUCGGUGCUAUUAGGCCGCCGAGGAUGGCUUUAGAUCUGCCGCUGCUUCCAACAACACCGCAAGGUUGGGGAGGUCACCCCCAUUUCUCAGAAACGAACCAGGGGCUCAGAGAGGCUGUGUGACUCUCCGAGGGCCACACAGCUUGUAGAAGGCAGAGUGGGAUGCCCCUGGCUCUCCGCCUCCAGGUCCCUCCCUUGUAGUUCGCAGAUGGAGUCAUCCUGCUGCUGCUGAUUGGACAGCUGGAGGGCUUCUUCCUGCACCUGAAGGAAUUCUACCUCACUCCCAACUCUCCUGCGGAAAUGCUGCACAAUGUCACCCUGGCCCUGGAGCUGCUGAAGGACGAAGGCCUCCUCAAAUACCCUGUCAGCCCCGAAGACAUUGUGAACAAGGACGCCAAGAGCACGCUGCGGGUCCUCUACAGCCUGUUUUGCAAGCACAAGCUGAAAGAAAGCGCGGACGGAGUGCCCAGGGGAUCCCCAAAUUAACCCUCAGUGUCCCCCAAAGCUGCCUCUCAGAGACCCAGCUGGAGGGCCCAGGGCUGCAGAGGGAUCCCCCACCUCGCCCUGUGCGGCCAGCCCCGGGGCCUCCUAUUCUUCCUGAGGAUCUGUGGUGCGCCUGCGCAGAGCCCCCGCCCCCCAUCUCCUACUUCCAUCCGUCUGAAUAUCUUUGAACCCACUAGGCGUGGAUUUGUUCAGAGCCAA